rnacentral:rRNA from 1 species
UACGAAGGGGGCUAGCGUUGCUCGGAAUCAUUGGGCGUAAAGAGCGUGUAGGCGGUCCGGUAAGUCCGCUGUGAAAGUCGGGGGCUCAACCCUCGAAUGCCGGUGGAUACUGUCGGGCUAGAGUGCGGAAGAGGCGAGUGGAAUUCCUGGUGUAGCGGUGAAAUGCGCAGAUAUCAGGAGGAACACCUAUUGCGAAGGCAGCUCGCUGGGACGUUACUGACGCUGAGACGCGAAAGCGUGGGGAGCAAACAGG